AGUGAACGCUGGCGGUAGGCCUAACACAUGCAAGUCGAACGGCAGCACAGUAAGAGCUUGCUCUUACGGGUGGCGAGUGGCGGACGGGUGAGGAAUACAUCGGAAUCUACUUUUUCGUGGGGGAUAACGUAGGGAAACUUACGCUAAUACCGCAUACGACCUACGGGUGAAAGCAGGGGAUCUUCGGACCUUGCGCGAUUGAAUGAGCCGAUGUCGGAUUAGCUAGUUGGCGGGGUAAAGGCCCACCAAGGCGACGAUCCGUAGCUGGUCUGAGAGGAUGAUACCCCCCCCGGGACCGGAGACACGGUCCAGACCCCUACGGGGGGCAGCAGUGGGGAAUUUUGGAAAAGGGGCGCAACCCUGACCCAGCCAUACCGCGUGGGUGAAGAAGGCCUUCGGGUUGUAAACCCCUUUUUUGGGGAAAAAAAAGAAGCAGGUUAAUCCCCCGCUGUUCUGCCGGUACCAAAAAAAUAACCCCCGCCCAAUUUCGU
rnacentral:rRNA from 1 species